rnacentral:misc_RNA from 1 species
AACCUAGCACACCUGCGGUGUGUACCUGCGGAAGGAUCAUUACAUGAUUUAACAGGGAGUGGAGGCUUCGGCCAAAGCUCUGUCUGAACCCAUGUCUUUUGCGUACUUCUUGUUUCCUCGGUGGGCUUGCCCGCCGAUAGGACAACCUUAAACUCUUUGCAAUUGCAAUCAGCGUCUGAAAAACUAUAAUAGUUACAACUUUCAACAAUGGAUCU